rnacentral:rRNA from 1 species
AUUGAACGCUGGCGGCAUGCUUUACACAUGCAAGUCGAACGGCAGCGCGGGCUUCGGCCUGGCGGCGAGUGGCGAACGGGUGAGUAAUGCAUCGGAACGUGCCCAGUAGUGGGGGAUAGCCCGGCGAAAGCCGGAUUAAUACCGCAUACGACCUGAGGGUGAAAGCGGGGGACCGAAAGGCCUCGCGCUAUUGGAGCGGCCGAUGUCGGAUUAGCUAGUUGGUGGGGUAAAGGCUUACCAAGGCGGCGAUCCGUAGCUGGUCUGAGAGGACGACCAGCCACACUGGGACUGAGACACGGCCCAGACGCCUACGGGAGGCAGCAGUGGGGAAUUUUGGACAAUGGGGGCAACCCUGAUCCAGCCAUGCCGCGUGCGGGAAGAAGGCCUUCGGGUUGUAAACCGCUUUUGUUCGGGAAGAAAUCCUCUGGGAUAAUACCCCGGGGGGAUGACGGGACCGGAAGAAUAAGCACCGGCUAACUAAGU